UUAAUUGAAGCUAAAAUAGAAGCAUAUCAUUGUUAAUGAUUAAAUUGAAUUAAAUUCCAAUUAAA
rnacentral:tRNA from 1 species